AGGCAUGUCAGUGACGGGAGCUUCACAGGGAAUGUCAACAUUCAGCAUGUCGGACAGCACAGAUCAUCCCAUUUUCAAUAGAGGAGUGUAGGUUUGGCAGCAUUCACAAACAAAGAGACAAGAAAGAUGCUUCUGUGCUCACAGUGGUGCCAGAAAAAUCAGUCUCGCAGUAGGACCAUGCAGAAGUGGAAACAGCCAGCGUCUGCGCUUUCAAACAUGCACCAUUUCACAGCAUCAGCAGCACUACAGAUGAAGACGAGCUUCUAAUGAAUGUUUAAAUGCAUACAGAUUCAAAGUUUACAGUUUAAAAAAAUAUAUAUAUAUAUAUAUAUAUAUAUAUAUAUAUAUAUAUAUGGAUAUGCAACAAAAGUGAAAAAAAGGAAGGAACGAAGUCAAGGUUAAUAAGGAUUAUAACUACUGACCAAAGGAGAAUGGCAGCAGUGAGCCAUAUAAAAGCCUAACACAAAACCUUAUUUCACAUUUUCUUUAAGAAUGGAAAUUAUGAAGAAGGUAUCCAUGACGACAGGUCGGGUUACUGCCGCAGUCAAAAUAUCCAAGGAAAAAAUGUUGAAGUGAUCCAAGGAAAUUAGCAUAACAUUGGAUAAGAAGGAAACAUCAUGAUUUGCAGAUAUUCCAGGCUGGAAGACACCACUUUAAGAAUGAGAUUUCCACAUCGAAAGAUAGAAUACAUAACUGCACAUGAAGAGGCAAGUGUGACACCUACAACAUGCUCUCCCAUUGAGCCAGUAAUACAGAACUACCCAUCUUCAGUUAUGAGGAAGGACUAAGGAUGUGUGGUAUGUGAAUAUUUUAGUUGCCUCAAAGACACACUUGAGAUAUAUGGAGGCUAGUGACAACCAUGCAUGUCCAGGAGGACCCUGAAUUGGGUGUAAUAGAAGAAAAAGAGCUAAAAGGAAAGAAAUCGCCUCAGCAAUCAACAGACUUGAAAGAACUCUCCAGAGAAACUUUGGGUCCAUCUUUCUUUUUUCUGUAAAAGCUUUCCUGGCAGUUAACUGGGAAUUAAUUCAGUUUUUAUAUUUUCAGUUUGUUACACAUUUAAUGACUUUAUUUUGGGCAAUUUGCUAAAUCAACAUUUAUUUCUUGUUAUUCCUUAUUCCUUGUUUGAUAUUUAUGGUGAGCAAAUCAUGGAAGGAACAGGUGUUUUACUGUAUUGUAAGCAAUGAGUUCAGAAGAGGGAGUGCAUGUUUUACUAAAAGGCUGGAAUUAUAUGAGGAAGCAACAAAAUUAUAUGAUCCAAGUUGAGUGUAUGAUAUUAUUUAUCUGGACUUUCAAAAAGCAUUUGAUAAAGUGCUGCACGAGAAGCUGGGCAUUAAACUUAAAGAAGUGGGAAUUCAAGGUGUUGUUGUCGAUGAAUGCAGAAUUAGCUCAGGCACAGGUUGCAGCAGGUUAUGGUGUGAGGAACCUUAUCAGAAUUGGUUGACAUUAAGAAUAGUGUUCCACAGGCGCCAGUGCUAGGGCUGCUAUUAUUUUUAAUAUAUAUAAAUUAUUUGGAUAGGACUAUAAGUAACAAACUAGUUAAAUUUGCAGAUGAUACCAAGCUAAGUGGAUUGGCAGAUAAUUUUCAGAAGCCAUUAAGAAGGCAAACAGAAUGUUAAGUUACAUAGAACAAUGUGUAGAGUACAAGUAAAUUAUGCUCAAGGUUUAUAAAGCACUGGGGCCUCAUGUAUAAACGGUGUGUACGCAUAAAAAUGUUUCUUACGACCGGUUCCACACU